UAUUAUAUGCGGACCUGCAAAUAGGUUUCAUUAAUUCGAGUUUCUCGAACCCUCACUCGAGCUGCCUCUCUCGAACGUUAACUCCAUCUGUGCUCUUUCCUCCAUUCUCUGUCCCAGGAGCUGCAGAAAAUAUCAUUGCGCGGGUAUUNAAGAAAAAUUAUAGCGGAUAAUUGAUUCCUCUUUGUUGCCACUACUUCUUCAUCUUCUCCACCGAUUUCUUCAAUCUUCAUUCGUUUCAAUGGCGCUAGGGUUUCAUCUGAAUUAGAGGCACUGCUCGCUCCAAACGGAACCAUGAGUUUCUCGCUAGCAGCUCCUUCGGCUUUUCGCGAGAAUCUCCUCCCUCCUCUGUCCCGCUGCACCUCUUGCUUCGAAUUUGAUCUCCGUUUUCACCGCUCCCACGGCUUUCCUCAUUCGCGUUGUCGGUUUACUUCGUUCAAGUUGUUUCGGAACCUGAGAAAUUGAAGUGUGAUAUCAUGAAGAUUUUUGACUUGAUUUUUGACUUCAGGAGUCAGCAUGCUCACUUUUACCUUGACAAUAUGCAAUUUUUAAUUUACCUAGGAGAAAGAAGCAUAUAAAAAUGAAGAAACACUACCUUCGGAAGAUUCCUCUGUGCAAAGUACCUCUCCUCCUGUAGAUGGAGAACAACUAAACAAAUUUAGUGAUGCAAAUAAGGAUCAAAGUGACGUGCAGGGUGGAGUGCUGUUCAAAGGGAACUUGCGAGGGCAAGCUGCUAAAAGUUAUGAUAAAAUUUCUAAGAGAUUGAAAGAUAAAUUUGGAGACGAGUACAAGCUUUUUCUUUUAGUAAAUCCAGAGGAUGACAAGCNAGUGGCUNUUGUAGUUCCAAGAACAACUUUACAACCAGAGACAACUGNUACUUGUUUUAGCUCUUGCAACAUCGUGGAUCAAAAAUGAUUUUUUGUAAAGCUCAUGAUUUGUACUUCUGGUGUUACUUAUAAUGGCAGCCGUACCUGAGUGGUUUGCUGCUGGAGCUUUUGGACUGGUUACGGUUUUUACCUUACUUAUUCGCAAUGUUCCUGCUUUGCAAUCCAAUUUAUUGUGAGCUGUUUUCUUAUGUCUUAAAUUGUCACUUCAUACGCUGAUAUGUCUUAGGCAAGAGUGUUCGGUCACACAAAACUGUUUCAUGUGCUUUGUUUACUAUACUGAUACAGUUGUGUAUACUCCUACGCUUGAGUAAUAAGUUUAGGGAAGUAUAACAAAUAUACUGUUUAGGUAAAUAAAUGUUUAUCUUCCAGGCUGUAUAUUCUUAAAUAGGAUGGUCUCAUAAAAUAAUUUAAUUAUUGAUGAAUUGUUGUCUGCCAUUCGUAGGAAUAAAUCUUUAUUUCUUCUUGUCAUUUCUCUGGUUGAGUGAUUGUUUCGUAUUAUAGAUGCUUCAAUUUCGUAUGCACGUAUAACUAUAAAGUGAAAUUUAGGUGUCAUUUGGUUUAAUAAUUACAAAAAAAGUAGCAUUUUUUCCACUUUGUUUCUCUUUUUAAAAUACUUCAACUAGUGAUGAAUUCUUGUCCAGCUUUCGUAGCAAUAAUUCAUUAGUCUUUCUGUUAUUAUCCCUGGUUGAUUAGUUGUUCCAUAUGAUGCUUCAAUUUGGUAUGCAUUUAUUAUUAUUCAAUAAAAAAUUUAGAAAUCACUUGGUUUAGUUAAGGUAUUCUGUUUUCACUUUUAAUUACAACAUGUCUUUCCUUUGCUUUCUACUUUGUUAGGUUUGUAUUAUGAAUAGGGAAAACAAUUUCAUUGCUUUUA